rnacentral:rRNA from 1 species
AACGAACGCUGGCGGCAUGCCUAAUACAUGCAAGUCGAACGAUCACUUCGGUGGUAGUGGCGCACGGGUGCGUAACGCGUGGGAAUCUGCCCUUGGGUUCGGAAUAACGUCGGGAAACUGACGCUAAUACCGGAUGAUGACGUAAGUCCAAAGAUUUAUCGCCCAGGGAUGAGCCCGCGUAGGAUCAGCUAGUUGGUGGGGUAAAGGCCUACCAAGGCGACGAUCCUUAGCUGGUCUGAGAGGAUGAUCAGCCACACUGGGACUGAGACACGGCCCAGACUCCUACGGGAGGCAGCAACAGGGAAUCGUACGCAAUGGACGAAAGUCUGACGUCGCAAUGCCGCGUGGAGGAUUAAGGCCUUCGGGUCGUAAACUCCUUUUAUAGUAAUAGAGAUGUUAUUAAGAAUAAGUGACUGCUAACUCUGUGCCAGCCGCCGCAGUAA